GAAGUGCUGUGGAACAUCAGAUAGAAUGGAUAGCACAGCCCAAAUUUUACAAAAAGGAUUUUAAAGGAAGAUCUCAAUGGUGGAACACUAGAGGCUUUCCUGCUAAAGUUAAGAACAAGAAAAGGCUGAUGCAGCUUUGGCAUGCAGGAAGUGUUGGAGCUGAGACUCGAAACUGUCCCCCAGGCCUUGGCCAUGCUGAUAAAUAUCUAGGCCCUACAGGAGUUCGUGUCCAUGAACCCAGUAAACGCAAUUCCUCAGCCUUAAAA